CUAGAUAGUCUGCAGCACUGUCAAGCAUUUGUAUCAAGAAUAGUCAGCUUGUGGAGCGUUGAGUUGAGCGGUACUGUGGUUGGGAUCAGAGUCUUCUCCAUGUGUGAGCUGAGGGUUUGGUUUCUAGUUCCGAUCCAGUGCUCUUCGGAAGCGACUGACUGGAUGCUGAGGCUCUUCCCCGAUGUCUUCAAAGUUGGAAAAGCCUACUGGAAGGUGGAAGGACUGAGGAAGGAGAGGCUGGAAGGUAGGCUGUUGUGAACUGGCACCUGUUGUGUUUCUUCUCUGUUUAAUGGCUGCCAGAGAGAGGACAAGAAAGGUAGACCUGGACUUGUUUGGUGGUCUCACGGAAAUGACUGGCCAUGGCUACCAUUGAGCUAAUAAAUCUCAGCAUCUAACACAAGCCUGAGUGACACACCCUGCCUGGCUAAGGGCGAUCAAAACCAGUCUUUAGCCCCGAAUCCGAGAUCUUGUGACUACUGUAGCCCACGAAGAUGGCCAUUGUAGAAGUGAAGGCACACAAGCCAGUGCUGUUAACUCAUCUGGCAAAGGAAACUUCAAGGCAUUCUGUUUGUUUUGUAGCAGGCAAAUUGCUAUGUGCUUUUAAAGCAGGGUUUAUAGUAAUUGCUGAGAAUAAAAAGGCAACAUGGAGAGAUUUGGCUUAGAAAAACUGAAAGGCCUUUGGAAAGCUAGUUCUAAGGAAGUAAGUAUGGCUGAUGUAGAGAUAAGUACGACAAAAAUAAAGCCAAACAUUGUGUACCUGGACAGCCAGAUGCCUUGAGGGCAGCUCACACAUUGGACAGAUGGCAUCGAUUGUGAGGCUAAGGAUAGAAAACUAAUUUCAUUUGAGAGACUGUUGAGGGGAAAUGCUGCAGAGGCUCACUGCUCACAGAGGGCUGCCAAGGAAGUUAUUUCCCCGGGAUUUUCUCAUCAUGAUUAGCAAUCCAGAUGCCAAGGCCACUGCAGACUCGGUCCUAGAGACCUGGCUACUGUUGGAGCCAAUGAAAGACCUUGGCAUUGCCCUGUAGUGCUGCGUUGACCAGAAAAGAGAAAGUAUUUCACAGCCAUGGAAAUAGAGAGGAAGAAGAGAUUCAUCAGGAGAUGGAAAGGGGAUGAGAGAGGGACCUGGAGGUGAAAAAGAUUAAGAUUUGCUGUGUGUGUGUAUGUAUGUAUGUAUGUAUGUAUGUAUGUAUGUAUGUAUGUAUGAAAGUGUCAAGGAAUUAAAUGGAUACAUAAAUUAUAUGAUAUAGUUGCUGUCAUCAAUUUUAAAAUAUGGCAGACUCUAGAGAGAGAUGGUUCAGUAGUUAACACUUAGUUGAUCUUCCAGAGGACUUGAGUUGGGUUGCCUAAACGCACACAGUGGCUCAGAACUAUCUAUACCACUUCUAGAGAAUCUAAUGCCCUCUUCUGGUCUUUGCAGGCAUGAGGCAUGCAUGUGGUGUACAUACAUACAUGCAAGCAAAACAUGUAUACAUACAUAGAAUAUUUUUAAAAGAAAAAAGGAAGGAAGAAGAGGAAGAAGAUGAAGAGUAGGAGAAAAAGUUGCUAUUAUUCAUUAUCACAAGAUCAUAGAGGUUUCCAGUCAGAUUUCAAAGGAAAAUCUGGGAGGCCAGGCGGUGUGCAGCAGUGUCAGAACCCCUGUAGGGAACUUCUGUGUGGUGCAUGAAACUGUGAAAGGGGAUUUAUAGAUGCAACAGAUUCUAAGACACUGGAGAUGCCAGGGAUGUUAAACAUCUGCUGAGGAGAGCUGCAGGCUGUGAGCAGAGCCGUCCCAGGAGACAGGCUAUGUGGGCUGCAGCCAGCAAGGACACAGGGGUGGGGCUGCCCAAGGACACAGGGGUGGGGCUGCCCAAGCCUUUGGAGCUGAUGUCAUAGCACAGUGUAUACCCUGCAUGCUGGACAUCCAACUACAGGAUUGAAUGUCUGCCUUGCCAGGUUUUGAUCUUAUUUUUGCUUCAUCCCUCCUUUCUAUGCCCUUUAAGGAGAACGUUUGCUCUAAACUGUUUGAAUUUUGAAGGUAUAACUUCUUUUUUUAAUGUUUUAAUUUUAGUCACUAAUAAAUCUUUAUUUUUUAAUUACUUUUUGCUAGAAGAGGAAUUAAUGAGUUUCAUCGUGGCAUCGUCACACAGGCAUACCAUGAUCCUUUGAUCUCCUUCAUUCCCCUCUCCCAUCCCCCUGUGCUGUGUCCCCUCCUGUCUCUAACUGCUCCUUUUUUCAUUCCCCAGUUAGCUCCCACUUCUGCUUCCCCAGUGCACACAUUCUGGGUUCCCUUGCCCUGUCUAUUUCACUUCUCUUCAGAUAGCCUCCUUCCCUCCCAGACCCUCUUUCUAGUUUCAGACCUGCAGAUACACUGUUUUUGUGAGUGUGUGUUUUUGAAGGAACUCGGUGCUACAAGAUUGCCUUAAGUUUCAGAGAAGUUUUAACUUUUGGACAAGGUUAAAACUGGCUGAUGGGGACCUGCAUGUGUGUGUGUGUGUGUGUGUGUGUGUGUGUGUGAAGUUGUAAAACAAGGUGAAGAGUUGUUUCUCAUCCUCUACCAUGUGGGUCCCAGGAAUCAAACUCAGUCACAUUUACCCUGUGGGCCAUCUCACAGGCCCAUAUACAAUGGGACCUUUUUGUCUCCAUUGUAGUAGACUCUGGUAAUCCCCCGGGAGACUGAAGCAGGAGGAUUGCAGUAAAUUUGAGACUGCCUUGGUGUACAUACCAAAUUUGAGGCCAGUUAACAAUGUAUAGUGACACCCUCCCUCAGAAGACCUGUUUUGCCUUAUGAGAGCCCUUGAGAGCAGAAUAUUUAUGAUCUGCUUAUAAAAUAGUCCCUAAAAAGCUCCUGGUGUGCUAAAGGUUUGGUCCCCAUUGGGAAGUGGCCGAUGCCUGCAGGCUGUAAGUCACUUGGUGGAUGAAUCCCUGGGUGAGUUCAUAUUAUGAUAGCAUCACUGUGAGGCAGAGAGGGUGAACUUGGCAUGGGUCACUGGGAUCAUGUGCUGGAAAUUUAUAUCUUUCCUCAGUUGCUUUCCUGCCUCUCUUUUCUGCCCGGAAUCUAUUAGGUGAGUAACUGUCUUAGUUUAGAUUUCUAUUACUGUGAUAAAACACCAUGACCAGGCUGUUGGUACCACACACCUUUUAUCCCAGAACUCAGUAGGCAGAGCAGAUCUCUGAGUCUUAGGCCAGCCUGAUCUCCAGAGUGAGUUCAAGGACAGCCAAGGCUACAUAAUAAAACCCUGUCUUGG
rnacentral:lncRNA from 1 species